rnacentral:rRNA from 1 species
AGAGUUUGAUCCUGGCUCAGGAUGAACGCUAGCUACAGGCUUAACACAUGCAAGUCGAGGGGAAACGACAUCGAAAGCUUGCUUUUGAUGGGCGUCGACCGGCGCACGGGUGAGUAACGCGUAUCCAACCUGCCCACCACUUGGGGAUAACCUUGCGAAAGUAAGACUAAUACCCAAUGAUAUCUCUAGAAGACAUCUGAAAGAGAUUAAAGAUUUAUCGGUGAUGGAUGGGGAUGCGUCUGAUUAGCUUGUUGGCGGGGUAACGGCCCACCAAGGCGACGAUCAGUAGGGGUUCUGAGAGGAAGGUCCCCCACAUUGGAACUGAGACACGGUCCAAACUCCUACGGGAGGCAGCAGUGAGGAAUAUUGGUCAAUGGGCGAGAGCCUGAACCAGCCAAGUAGCGUGCAGGAAGACGGCCCUAUGGGUUGUAAACUGCUUUUAUAAGGGAAUAAAGUGAGUCUCGUGAGACUUUUUGCAUGUACCUUAUGAAUAAGGACCGGCUAAUUCCGUGCCAGCAGCCGCGGUAAUACGGAAGGUCCGGGCGUUAUCCGGAUUUAUUGGGUUUAAAGGGAGCGUAGGCCGGAGAUUAAGCGUGUUGUGAAAUGUAGACGCUCAACGUCUGCACUGCAGCGCGAACUGGUUUCCUUGAGUACGCACAAAGUGGGCGGAAUUCGUGGUGUAGCGGUGAAAUGCUUAGAUAUCACGAAGAACUCCGAUUGCGAAGGCAGCUCACUGGAGCGCAACUGACGCUGAAGCUCGAAAGUGCGGGUAUCGAACAGGAUUAGAUACCCUGGUAGUCCGCACGGUAAACGAUGGAUGCCCGCUGUUGGUCUGAACAGGUCAGCGGCCAAGCGAAAGCAUUAAGCAUCCCACCUGGGGAGUACGCCGGCAACGGUGAAACUCAAAGGAAUUGACGGGGGCCCGCACAAGCGGAGGAACAUGUGGUUUAAUUCGAUGAUACGCGAGGAACCUUACCCGGGCUUGAAUUGCAGAGGAAGGAUUUGGAGACAAUGACGCCCUUCGGGGCCUCUGUGAAGGUGCUGCAUGGUUGUCGUCAGCUCGUGCCGUGAGGUGUCGGCUUAAGUGCCAUAACGAGCGCAACCCCUCUCCUUAGUUGCCAUCAGGUUAAGCUGGGCACUCUGGGGACACUGCCACCGUAAGGUGUGAGGAAGGUGGGGAUGACGUCAAAUCAGCACGGCCCUUACGUCCGGGGCUACACA